CGGUACUCAGAGAGUUUCGAGUCCUGGCUCAGGAUGACGCUGGCGGCGUGCUUACACAUGCAAGUCGAACGAAGCGGUUACAGGGAGUUCCCUUCGGGAGGAACGGUAAUUGUCUGAGUGGCGGACGGGUGAGUAACGCGUGGGCAACCUGCCCCAUACCGGGGGAUAACAGCCGGAAACGGCUGCUAAUACCGCAUACGCCCAGGAGGCUGCAUAGCUUCCUGGGGAAAACUCCGGUGGUAUGGGAUGGGCCCGCGUCUGAUUAGCUCGUUGGCGGGGUAACGGCCCACCAAGGCGACGAUCAGUAGCCGGCCUGAGGGGGCGGCCGGCCACAUUGGGACUGAGACACGGCCCAGACUCCUGCGGGAGGCAGCAGUGGGGAAUAUUGCACAAUGGGGGAAACCCUGAUGCAGCGACGCCGCGUGAGCGAUGAAGUAUCUCGGUAUGCAAAGCUCUAUCAGCAGGGAAGAAAGUGACAGUACCUGACUAAGAAGCCCCGGCUAACUACGUG
rnacentral:rRNA from 1 species